rnacentral:rRNA from 1 species
AUAUAACUAGGCGGAGGAAAAGAAACUAACAAGGAUUCCCUUAGUAACGGCGAGUGAAGCGGGAAGAGCUCAGAGCGAAAAUCUUCGGAGUUGUAGUCUGUCGAAGCCGAGUCAGCUGAUGUGUGCAUAGCAAGUCUCCUGGAAUGGAGCGCCGAGGAGGGUGAGAGCCCCGUUUAUCUAUGCGCGCAUGGCGUACGACUGGCUUUCUAUGAGUCGAGUUGUUUGGGAUUGCAGCUCUAAUCAGGUGGUAAAUUCCAUCUAAAGCUAAAUAUUGGUGGGAGACCGAUAGCGCACAAGUA